AGCAGCCGCGGUAAUUCCAGCUCCAAUAGCGUAUAUUAAAGUUGUUGCAGUUAAAAAGCUCGUAGUUGAAUUUCGGGGUCAGUAGGUUGGUCAUGCCCAUGGUAUGCACUGGUCUCACUGAUUCCUCCUUCCUGGUGAACCGUAAUGCCAUUAAUUUGGUGUUGCGGGGAAUCUGGACUGUUACUUUGAAAAAAUUAGAGUGUUUAAAGCAGGCCGACGCCUGAAUACAUUAGCAUGGAAUAAUGAAAUAGGACGUUCGAUCCUAUUCUGUUGGUUUCUAGGAUUGACGUAAUGAUUAAUAGGGAUAGUUGGGGGCAUUAGUAUUCAAUUGUCAGAGGUGAAAUUCUUGGAUUUAUUGAAGACUAACUACUGCGAAAGCAUUUGCCAAGGAUGUUUUCAUUAAUCAAGAACGAAAGUUAGGGGAUCGAAGACGAUCAGAUACCGUCGUAGUCUUAACCAUAAACUAUGCCGACUAGGGAUCGGAUGAUGUUAAUUUUAUAUAGACUCA
rnacentral:rRNA from 1 species